ensembl:lncRNA
GGCGGUCCAUGGUUACAUUGGCAGCGAGAGUUCUCUUCACUUCUCCAGAUUUUUCCAGGAGUAUGAUUCAGGAGGAUGUGCACACACCAGCAAGGUCUGCUUAUCCAAAGGAAUGUGAGGACCACAGAUGACACCGAAAUCCGGAGGGAAUUCCUCGUUUCUGCUCUGGAAAGUCAGUGGCCAGCAAGAAAAAGGAAGAAGAAAAAUAAAAUCAGAAUUGGGGCAGGAGGCACAGAGCUGGAGACUGCAUAGGAGCUCAGUACCCGGAGAUGGAGACAGGGAGAAAGACAGGGUUUGAGGGGAAAAGGGAGACUGAGAAACCAGGUCCUGCUGUCUCAGAGCUCUCCCUCUGCUAUUGGACCAAACUGAAUGAAAUUUACAAAGCCGGCAGCCAAUAGAUCUCCGCACUGGGCUCAUCAGCACAGAAAUCAUAUCCACAGCUACAACCUAGGCAAAGAGCAGCUAAUCCGAGUGCAAACCAACUAUGACUCGGAGCUCCUGCUGCCCGGGUAGGAGGACAGGGCACACACUGGCCACUGUGCCAGAAGUCCCCCUGGGCCACUGGGAUCUUCUGAUAGAUACUGGGGCAUCAAACAGGCUAUGGGAGUGGCCCACAUCUUUACAUCUUUAACCCUUUGAGGUCCUCCUCCCCAGGAGUCCGGGGGUCAGAGGGUCACCAUUGCUCCACGUUUUGUGUUAGUAGAAUUAAAUUAUAUUUUGCAAAAAUAUUGUUUUUAAGGGCAGCAUCAUUAGGGUGCAGUUCUCUUAGACUCGGGACAUAUCUUGUGCCCCAGUGAGGAAUCGUAAAUGUGGAUUGCUUUUGUUUCUCUCUCUGAUACACUCACGAUUUGGAUGGAAAUACUGGAGCCGUGGCUGCCGUUCCUGGCCACCAUGACAUGAGCAGCUUCCAGUUAUGUUUCUGUCUCACCACAGGCCCAAAGGGCAUGGUGCUGUGAAACCAUGGACUGAACCCUCCUAAGCCUUCUCAAGGAACCAGGAUGUCUUCAGCUGAUGUCAUCUUGCCCUUGAGCAUCACAGAAUCACGGGACCAUUGAGGUCUCAGCUGUGACCAGAGGCAAAAACAAAGUUAUGUUUCUGCAUGUCAUAGCCGGCUUGCAGGCACGAAGAAUAGGCC